AGUGAACGCUGGCGGUAGGCCUAACACAUGCAAGUCGAGCGGCAGCACAGGAGAGCUUGCUCUCUGGGUGGCGAGUGGCGGACGGGUGAGGAAUACAUCGGAAUCUACUCUGUCGUGGGGGAUAACGUAGGGAAACUUACGCUAAUACCGCAUACGACCUACGGGUGAAAGCAGGGGACCUUCGGGCCUUGCGCGAUUGAAUGAGCCGAUGGCGGAUUAGCUAGUUGGCGGGGUAAAGGCCCACCAAGGCGACGAUCCGGAGCUGGUCUGAGAGGAUGAUCAGCCACACUGGAACUGAGACACGGUCCAGACUCCUACGGGAGGCAGCAGUGGGGAAUAUUGGACAAUGGGCGCAAGCCUGAUCCAGCCAUACCGCGUGGGUGAAGAAGGCCUUCGGGUUGUAAAGCCCUUUUGUUGGGAAAGAAAUCCAGCUGGCUAAUACCCGGUUGGGAUGACGGUACCCAAAGAAUAAGCACCGGCUAACUUCGUGCCAGCCGCCGCCGUAA
rnacentral:rRNA from 1 species